rnacentral:rRNA from 1 species
GACGAACGCUGGCGGCGUGCCUAAUACAUGCAAGUAGGACGCUGAAGGAGGAGCUUGCUUCUCUGGAUGAGUUGCGAACGGGUGAGUAACGCGUAGGUAACCUGCCUGGUAGCGGGGGAUAACUAUUGGAAACGAUAGCUAAUACCGCAUAAUAGUAGAUGUUGCAUGACAUUUGCUUAAAAGGUGCAAUUGCAUCACUACCAGAUGGACCUGCGUUGUAUUAGCUAGUUGGUGGUGUAACGGCUCACCAAGGCGACGAUACAUAGCCGACCUGAGAGGGGGAUCGGCCACACUGGGACUGGGACACGGCCCAGACUCCUUCGGGAGGGCGCCGUAGGGAAACUUCCGCAAUGGACGGAAGUCUGACCGAGCAACGCCGGGGGAGUGAAGAAGGGUUUCGGAUCGGAAAGCUCUGUUGUAAGGGAAGAACGAGUGUGAGAGUGGAAAGUGCACACUGUGACGGUAUCUUACCAGAAAGGGACGGCUAACUACGUG